rnacentral:rRNA from 1 species
UACGUAGGGUGCGAGCGUUGUCCGGAAUUACUGGGCGUAAAGAGCUCGUAGGUGGUUUGUCGCGUUGUUCGUGAAAUCUCACGGCUUAACUGUGAGCGUGCGGGCGAUACGGGCAGACUGGAGUACUGCAGGGGAGACUGGAAUUCCUGGUGUAGCGGUGGAAUGCGUAGAUAUCAAGAGGAACACCUGAGGUGAAGACGGGUUGCUGGGCCAACACUGACGCUGAUGCGCGAAAGCCAGGGGAGCAAACGGG